AACGAACGCUGGCGGCAGGCUUAACACAUGCAAGUCGAACGCAUCCUUCGGGGUGAGUGGCAGACGGGUGAGUAACGCGUGGGAACGUGCCCUUCAGUUUGGAAUAACCCAGGGAAACUUGGGCUAAUACCGGAUACGCCCGUAAGGGGAAAGAUUUAUCGCUGAAGGAUCGGCCCGCGUCUGAUUAGCUGGUUGGUGAGGUAAUGGCUCACCAAGGCGACGAUCAGUAGCUGGUCUGAGAGGAUGAUCAGCCACAUUGGGACUGAGACACGGCCCAAACUCCUACGGGAGGCAGCAGUGGGGAAUAUUGGACAAUGGGCGCAAGCCUGAUCCAGCCAUGCCGCGUGAGUGAUGACGGCCUUAGGGUUGUAAAGCUCUUUCGCACGCGACGAUAAUGACGGUAGCGUGAGAAGAAGCCCCGGCUAACUUCGUGCCAGCCGCCGCGGUAACAC
rnacentral:rRNA from 1 species